rnacentral:rRNA from 1 species
AACCUGGCGGUGUGCUUCACACAUGCAGUCGAACGAGGUAGCAAUACCUAGUGGCGGACGGGUGAGUAACGCGUGGGAAUCUGCCCAAGGGUGGGGGAUAACUAACCGAAAGGUUAGCUAAUACCGCAUAUGCCGUGAGGUAAAAGGAGUAAUCCGCCCCUGGAUGAGCCUGCGUCCGAUUAGCUUGUUGGUAGGGUAAAAGCCUACCAAGGCUACGAUCGGUAGCUGGUCUGAGAGGAUGAUCAGCCACAAUGGGACUGAGACACGGCCCAUACUCCUACGGGAGGCAGCAGUGGGGAAUUUUACGCAAUGGGGGAAACCCUGACGUAGCGACACCGCGUGAGCGAAGA